rnacentral:misc_RNA from 1 species
CAGAGUUCAUGCCCUCACGGGUAGAUCUCCCACCCUUGAAUAACAUACCUUUGUUGCUUUGGCAGGGCGCACCCGUGCCGGAGGCUUCGGCUUCCGAGUCCCUGCCAGAGGACCACAACUCUUGUUUUUAGUGAUGUCUGAGUACUAUAUAAUAGUUA